rnacentral:lncRNA from 1 species
UGGAAAAUGUGCACGUUGGGGGAGACGGCUGACCCCUGUUGUCCUUCUUACAUCCCGUGGAACAUGGACGUCGCGUCCCUGUCGCCGGAUACGCUGGGCACGAGAACAGGCGGCGCUCCCUCCUGUGCCGGGCGGCGCAUGCCAUGAGUGUCCUAUGGCGAAUCAGGGGGAGGCGCGGCCACUGUAGCCUGUGCGGUCGUGGCUACAGUGUUCCGCCCAGGUACUUGUGGCGGGUCACGUUGAGGGGCACGGACGCCUUUCUGCGCGCCAGAGCCGCGGCGCAUUUAUGGCGAGAUUGGUGAGGGACCCACGAGAUCCGCGCCCCCGUCUGCCGGUCUACGCCCGAGGCGGAUCCUUGUCCUGUGGGCCCGGAUGAGUCUGACCCCCUACGUCCAGGGUCAGGCAAGGCGGAGCCUUGCGGCGAGGGGUCGGGCGCACCCGACCCUAGGACCGUGGGUCGAGUGAGGCGGAGUUUUGCCAUUGAGGGGUCAGGAGUGUCCGACCCCAGGGCCCUGGGUCAGACGAGACAGAGCGGGAUGUUCCCUGCCCAUGCUGGGCAGGCGGCAAUCGUUAUUACCGCAAGUGGGCCUGGGCCUUCAUGAUUGUCGUUUUAAGGGGCAUUAGGAGGUUGUUAAUAUUUCCCCCCAACAGUAGCCCCCGAGCCUGUGGUGGAGCAAGGAUGCAGUUGAUCAGGGAUAGGGAGUGUUGUUGGCCCAACUUGGCUGAGAAUUUGAUCAGGCGAGGUGUCCUGU